AAGUUUGUCUUUACCUCCCUCUGAGAGUGAGAAUAUGUAAUUUGCCUAAAGUAACCCAGUGGGUUUCAGUGGACAGAUAUUUAAUUUCCAGUGGGAGAGCCAUGUCGAUUUUUUUUACUGCAAAACACCUUAAGUAAUACAUUAAACUAAAGACUAAUAAUAUUUAAUUGACAAACUUUUGUGGUCCAUAGGCCACUUCAUCAGAUGCAUCUCAGAUUUAGUUUACCAUCUACUAUUCUACAUGCAACAAAGUGAGACGACGGCACAUAAUGAGGGCUGCACUCCUCAUAAUAUUCAUACCAAAUAAAAUACGUUAGUGCCACAGUAUUCUAAGGGGUUUUCACCUUUUUCAGGAUUAUGCAUUUGGAGAUUCUUUUCUCUUUCCAAAGUUAUUUGCAUAGAUGGCAAGAUCACAUAUGCAAUUGUUUUGAGACAUCGUGGAUAUAAUUUUCUAAUCUGAGGGAUACACAGCAAUUCAAAUGACAGAAGGUUAUACCUUCUGUACAGAUAUACCAUACAUGCUGCCUUUUCAGAGGUAAAAACUGGGGCACGUCCAGUUCUAUGCCAGAAACAGCCUUAGACACAGAUAAUGCAAUUAGAGAAACAAUCUCGAUGAUAAUGCACGGUCUUCAAGCAAAUGUAAAACAGAAGUCUUCACAUCAGAUAGCAAAUAAAGUCUUUGAUAGGCUUAUAAGUUGCAAAUGACAGGAGCCUUCAGAGAUCCAACCAUGGACACGGUGCUGGUAACAGAAACACCCCCGAAAAUUGGUCAGUUGCAGCCAGGAAUAGCCCCUGACUUUGCUGCUAAUUUAUAGCCCUGAGCUUUCCAGCACAGCUGACCCUAGGGCACAGUAUGAUUACUCAGUAUUUUCUUUGCUAGCCUAGCUGAUCUCCUUUUGACUUCUUUCUCCCUUCAAUGUUCCUCUCCUCCUCCUCCUCCUCCUCCUCCUCCUCCUCCUCCUCCUCCUCCUCCCUCACCACUUAACCCCAAAUCCCCAAGUGUUGCUUCUUCAACCACCUGUCCCCCUUCUCCCUCAGAAUCAGAAGAGCAAUCCACAACAGGACA
rnacentral:lncRNA from 1 species